UACAGAGGGUGCAAGCGUUGUUCGGAAUUAUUGGGCGUAAAGGGCGCGUAGGCGGUGCGGUAAGUCUGUAGUGAAAUCUCUGGGCUCAACUCAGAGUCUGCUGCAGAAACUGCCGUGCUUGAGUGUGGGAGAGGGAAGUGGAAUUCCCGGUGUAGUGGUGAAAUGCGUAGAUAUCGGGAGGAACACCAGUGGCGAAGGCGACUUCCUGGCCUGUUCUUGACGCUGAGGCGCGAAAGCUAGGGGAGCAAACGGG
rnacentral:rRNA from 1 species